rnacentral:lncRNA from 1 species
AAGGAAUUUAUAUUUAAACAAAGAGGGACCAACAUUGUUACUUGUUGCUAUUUACAAAGAAAAAAACAAAUAUUUAGGACAAAUACAUGGGUGACACAUGUUAAAAAAUCAAAGCAGUACCAUUUCAAAACUCAUUUAAUUAUAAAUAAAUAAAUUAGGGAGUUACUCCCUGUACCUCCCCGGUUGCAACCCCCACCCCCCCAAUUUUUUUGAAAUUUUUUUUAAAUACAAAAUUAACCUUUAAGUUUUUUUUUUUUAUCCAUUUAUCCCUAUUUAACCUACCCUACAGUAACUCCCUCUUUUACCUCUCUUUUACAGUCUGAGAGAUUCUCUUCGUAUUCCCCACCCCCACCCCACCAUUUUGAAACCUCCCUCCUCCAAACUCUGCAACUCUCCCAUUCUCCCACUCUGCCACUUCGUAUUCUCACUCUCCCACUCCUCUCUGUUUGUGCGGCUGUUGUGCGGUGGGGUUGUGGUUGCUGCUCUGGUGCGGCGGCGCAGAGGGUGUUGUGCGACGGUGUUGCGGCGGUGCAAGGCGUCGAGAGGUUAGUUUCUUAUAAUUUUUUCUUUUUUUUUUAAACGUAUGCAAUGUGUAGUGUAGGAUUGGGUAUCGUUGGUGUUUCUGUUUGAGUUCUGUCAUCUCUGUUUGUGUGCAUUUGGUUGGUGUUUUUGUUUCAGUUUUUUCAUCUCUGUGUGUGCAUUGAGGAAGAAGACAGGCACGAAACGGAUGUUGCUAUCCGUCGACGGAUGUCGAGAUCCGUUCCAUAUUUUUAUUUUUUAAUUUAUUUUAUAAAUAAUUAUAUUUUAACUUUUUGGAACAUUUGGUAUAUAUAUACCUGAAGCUGAGACUCAGG